GACGAACGCUGGCGGCGUGCUUAACACAUGCAAGUCGAACGAUGAAGCCGGAGCUUGCUCUGGUGAAUUAGUGGCGAACGGGUGAGUAACACGUGAGUAACCUGCCCUUGACUCUGGGAUAACUGCUAGAAAUGGUAGCUAAUACCGGAUACGACCCUCGGAGGCAUCUCCAGGGGGUGGAAAGAAUUUCGGUCAAGGAUGGACUCGCGGCCUAUCAGCUAGUUGGUGAGGUAACGGCUCACCAAGGCGACGACGGGUAGCCGGCCUGAGAGGGGAACCGGCCACACGGGGGCUGAGACACGGCCCAGACUCCUACGGGAGGCAGCAGUGGGGAAUAUUGCACAAUGGGCGCAAGCCUGAUGCAGCAACGCCGCGUGAGGGAUGACGGCCUUCGGGUUGUAAACCUCUUUUAGUAGGGAAGAAGCGAAAGUGACGGUACCUGCAGAAAAAGCACCGGCUAACUACGUGCCAGCAGCCGCCGUAA
rnacentral:rRNA from 1 species